UACCCGUAGCUCCUAUCCAUGUUGUUAUCAAAGAAGUCAACAUGGAAGUUGGUACUGGUGCA
rfam:Caenorhabditis brenneri strain PB2801 C_brenneri-6.0.1_Cont318.1, whole genome shotgun sequence.